rnacentral:rRNA from 1 species
GCUCACGGCCAUAUCAGCCUGGGUACGCCCGAUCUCGUCUGAUCUCGGAAGCUAAGCAGGGUCGGGCCUGGUUAGUACUUGGAUGGUAGACCGCCUGGGAAUACCAGGUGCUGUAAGCA